GGGGGAACCCUGAUGCAGCGACGCCGCGUGAGUGAAGAAGUAUCUCGGUAUGUAAAGCUCUAUCAGCAGGGAAGAAAAUGACGGUACCUGACUAAGAAGCCCCGGCUAACUACGUGCCAGCAGCCGCGGUAAUACGUAGGGGGCAAGCGUUAUCCGGAAUUACUGGGUGUAAAGGGUGCGUAGGUGGUAUGGCAAGUCAGAAGUGAAAACCCAGGGCUUAACUCUGGGACUGCUUUUGAAACUGUCAGACUGGAGUGCAGGAGAGGUAAGCGGAAUUCCUAGUGUAGCGGUGAAAUGCGUAGAUAUUAGGAGGAACAUCAGUGGCGAAGGCGGCUUACUGGACUGAAACUGACACUGAGGCACGAAAGCGUGGGGAGCAAACAGGAUUAGAUACCCUGGUAG
rnacentral:rRNA from 1 species